rnacentral:sRNA from 1 species
UUAACCUCCUUUGCAAGUCCACAAUUUGACCAAUCCACUGGACAUUCAGUUUGGGUCUCCUCGUUGUCAGCCUCAUCUAUGCUGGUAUACUGCCAAGCGACGGGAAUCUCGUCACUACUCCCGAUCACCCGAUCCCCCAACCAGACUUCGAAUGUCAGGCACGACGAUUCGAUGUAUAAACGCACUUCAUACUGGAUUUUCUGAAGUUCUGCUUUCCGGAUUGAGCUCCACCGCUUCUGUUUAGCAGGCUGGGCAUGCUGUCGUAGAAAUUCCCCGCCUACUCUUGACUCGAUCUCACAUAUAACCCAAGCAUCACCUUCGUCGAUUGUAUGUGGGAGGCGGGCAGCAGGAGACCUGGACAUGGCGAUCAAAAUUUUCCAGUCUAUCUCGGAACUGGUUGCUUCGAAAACCCUAUCCAACUUCUGGCAUAUGCAUCGGUGCUGGAUAAUUUUACCUCGUUCGAGAAGCCAUUGGACCUGGUUGACGAUAUACCGCCUCCCAUCAUAGGGGCUUAUUUUCACAUGGCUAUUGUAGCUGGGAGGAGUUUUACCUGUGCGAACUCUGUUAUUGACCACUAUGCCGUAGGAGCUGGAACUACAACGAGUGGAUAGGACGGAGUGUCCAUGUCUCAAACGGUGAACUCGGUCGAUUACCAGUCCGUGGGAGACCGCUAAUUGGCUAUAGGGAAGGUCAGCGCGCCAUAUUCUUUAAAAAAAUUGAUAUUAAAUCGCUUCCUCACGGUUCCUUUGAAAUUAAAAUCCCUUUGGCUUCUCUCCCGCAACCAUACUUGGUGAUAAACCAAUCCUGAACGUAGCGAGAGGAACCUAGGCCGCCGGAAAGGAUCAUAUGUGUCUGUUGACAGUUAAUCGGAUCCGACACUCCAACAACAAAAGAAGAGAAAAAAAAAACGUAUAACGUACCACUUCUACUGGGGGCGUGAUAUCACCAACACGUUGAAGCUGCUCAUCAAUGCGCUGGCUAUAACUAGGUAAACAUAACAUACGUUGGUAAACUUACUUUUCCAGUACUAUCCUUCCAUUUUCGAUACCCGCUUCUGGGCUGUUGUAGGAUAUCGGAAGGCCAGGGAUGCGAAGGGCAAGUCUCCGUAAGUCUGUCAUUGCUCUACACCCAUAAUUCAACUUCAAGAUUUGAAAAUCGCCUUUUGUCAAUUUGCGUGCUGCAGACUUCGGAGACCAACGGCGGUCAUCACUUUCGUAAUCGAUCCUUUCCAAACGGCUUUCAACUUCCCUUUGGAACGCCUGGUCGAUCUGCACGGAACCAAAUGGUUUUCCUACACAGAUUAACGAUGAGUGGCGGUUCAGGAGCAGAAUGGAAGGAAUAUUAAGAUACCGCUGACGUAGUCGAGCUGCUCUAACUGAAGCACAUCUUCUCGCUGACCUCGAACUGUAUAUUUUUCGAUUGAUGAAACCUUGAGGAUGGCCACACCCUGUGGAUGAUGUUAGCAGGCAAAUCACCGACGACAAUGGAGCAAGACUCUGACAGUUGUUCCGCCUCCAGCAUCGCAAAUAAGAAUUACGCUGCCAGCUUCUAGAGGCUUCUCCUUCCUAGGUGGAAGCUCCCUGCUUCCUUCAGGGUUUUGGUGUCUAAAGGUUUUGGCUGAGUAAGCUGCUGCUGCUGCUGCUUCAUUCAACUUAAUCUCGACUGAGUGGGCUUCACAGUCUCCAAAACCAGAACUCCUCACAAUUCCGCAAAAUGCAUCAACCACCUUUGGAUUUUGCCAGGUUGUCGGGAAACUAAAAACGUAUUCUACUGGGUGUAGUCUCCAAUCGCUCACCACCGGAUAAGGUAGGUACUCUGAAUUUCUUAUAUAUUGGAUGAUGUGUAGUCGAAGGGCGGUAAAGAAAUCGACAAACCAUGUCUGAACAUCUUCAUGUGUCCAGAACAUCUCAGCGCUAUUCGCAAAAUCAAAGUCAGGGUCAAGAUAUAGUUUGAAACAAUCCACCACAUCCAUUCCAGGAUGCAACUCAUCCGGUUCAUCGAAUCCCCAUGAGAUGGGUUUCCUGCAGCCCGCUCGGUACCAGAGUUUUGUUGGCACUUUAUUCUCUAUCUUCGUAGUUCCUGGCCAUCUAUUUACAGAAAUCGGAGUUUCCAUAUCCACGGUCGAGAAUGCGACUCCUAACAGGACAUUAGGAAACGCCUCGGUUCAAAGUCAACUCACACAAACCGCAUUGUGCAUGUCACUAUACCACGGUCAUCGAACCACGAUGCUCCAAACAAAGGAUGAAAAAUAAUAGUAAUAAUAAUAAAUAAUAACAAUAAUACAAAGAAACAAUACCUGUAAAGGUUAAGCCCAAAUCAAUGCCGAUGAUAAUAGUCUCAGGAGGUAUAUAGCGGCGCGUCAUUGUUCGAAAUAUCUACCCCGUCGAACACAAAAGCU